AUGCCAUGGUUGGGACAUUUUCUAAGAAAUUCUUUAAAUCUUUUCCAAGCAUCAAAUAAGGAUUCAUCAUGCCCUCACCUAAAUAAGGUGAUCUCAUUUCUCAUCUU